CCAACGUGGAGAUGCUGGGAACACGGCCAUGAGAGAUUCUGACAAGUCUUGAUUUCAUUCAGCUUCCCAGUCAAGGGACAAUUAAUUACCGUGAUGUGGAUAUUAACAGUGACAAUAUGGUUCUCAGGACAAACACAUAGAGCCCAUCUUCACUUCAUAAGGGAAGCUUUAGAAGGUGCCGAAGAGCGAUAAAAGAGAGAAGAGAGAAACAUGGACCUAAGAGCUGUUUGGACACAGAAGGAAGAACCCUGAUGAUCCAGCAUUCUUUGUCUUUUCAUAUCCAAAAGGUAUCAUCU
rnacentral:lncRNA from 1 species